AGAUACUAAAACUACAUCAAACUAAUUCAUUUAAGGAUUUUUUAAAAAUAGCAAAGCACCAUUUGUAUCAUCAAUGGGAUAAGAAAGAUCAUGUUUGUUGUAAUUGCCCAAAUACAGGUCGCUUAAUUCGGAAAACAGGAAAUCUGAAUACAAACAUAUUCGAAAAAUUGUUUGCCUAUGUAAAAAAAAACACUUGUUCCAAUGGACGCCGAAGGAGGAAUGUCACGGCAUUUCUAGAGAUAUGUAUAUGCAAAUACGAAGAAAAAAACAUUUCCAUAAAUGACUUAGAUUUAUGUGACAUAAAAAGCUUAUGUCUUAAUUCACCAUUGCCGUCAUUAUUAACAACAUCAGAGGAAAAUCAACUAGAUAUUUUAAUAAACAUUCGGAAUAAAGUAUGCCACGCGCUUAAAACCAAUAUUUUUACGGAACCUGAACUUGAUUUAAUGUGGACUGAAGUAUCCGAUGCAUUAUGUAAUUUGUCAAAUAUUGAUAAAAAAUAUAUGAAGAUGAUCAUCGAAGAUAAAAGACAACAAUCUUUAAAAGCUACAACCAUUCAAGAACUCCGUUCGAAAAUUGACAUGAUUGAAAAGGAUGCACAAAACUGUACGGACUACAUGAGAACCCAAAUUGAACAGAACAAGACACUUGAUGAUAUAAGAAAAGCACAAGCGCGCCAGGAAGAUCAAUCUUUCAAAAACCAUGGAGAGCUUAUACAGGAAAUUGGGAAUUUAAAGGCUUUUUUUUCAGCAUCAUCAUUAACCGGUACCAGUUCCGCAACACAAGGCUCACUCUCAG